AGAGUUUGAUCCUGGCUCAGAUUGAACGCUGGCGGCAUGCCUUACACAUGCAAGUCGAACGGCAGCACGGGAGCUUGCUCCUGGUGGCGAGUGGCGAACGGGUGAGUAAUGCAUCGGAACGUGCCCUGAAGUGGGGGAUAACGCAGCGAAAGUUGCGCUAAUACCGCAUAUUCUGUGAGCAGGAAAGCAGGGGAUCGCAAGACCUUGCGCUUUAGGAGCGGCCGAUGUCGGAUUAGCUGGUUGGUGGGGUAAAGGCUCACCAAGGCGACGAUCCGUAGCGGGUCUGAGAGGAUGAUCCGCCACACUGGGACUGAGACACGGCCCAGACUCCUACGGGAGGCAGCAGUGGGGAAUUUUGGACAAUGGGCGCAAGCCUGAUCCAGCCAUGCCGCGUGAGUGAAGAAGGCCUUCGGGUUGUAAAGCUCUUUCGGCGGGGAAGAAAUCGCAUUCUCUAAUACAGGAUGUGGAUGACGGUACCCGAAUAAGAAGCACCGGCUAACUACGUGCCAGCAGCCGCGGUAAUACGUAGGGUGCGAGCGUUAAUCGGAAUUACUGGGCGUAAAGCGUGCGCAGGCGGUUUCGUAAGACAGACGUGAAAUCCCCGGGCUCAACCUGGGAACUGCGUUUGUGACUGCGAGGCUAGAGUUUGGCAGAGGGGGGUGGAAUUCCACGUGUAGCAGUGAAAUGCGUAGAGAUGUGGAGGAACACCGAUGGCGAAGCAGCCCCCUGGGCCAAUACUGACGCUCAUGCACG
rnacentral:rRNA from 1 species